AAAGGGAGACCUAAUUCAGGUAUGGGACGAAAAAAAAGUAGUCGCUACCAAGAAUCAAUCCCAAAAGGUCGGAGCGAGGUAUGAGGCUUUCAAACUAGGUUCUGGGUUCAAACAAGACCUGAAUCAGGAACAAGGGCUAUUAGCUCAGGUGGUUAGAGCGCACCCCUGAUAAGGGUGAGGUCCCUGGUUCGAGUCCAGGAUGGCCCACCUGCACAGGUGGCAAAAAAAAGAAAAGAAGCGAGGAAUCAGCACCUUAUCUUAUCUAUAUAUAAGAGAGAAUGCUGGCUCUGAGUACAGAGUCCAGAGGAACCUUGAAAACUGCAUAGAGCUAGGUGAAAAAGCCAAAAAAGAAGACCGCAAG
rnacentral:tRNA from 1 species